rnacentral:tRNA from 1 species
GCCGGCGUAGCUCAGUGGUAGAGCAGCUGAUUCGUAAUCAGCAGGUCGUAGGUUCAAGUCCUAUCGCCGGCUUCA